CUCAUUUUCGUCUUCGUCUUCUUCUUGACCUACUGAAUCAUCACUAUCAAAAAAUUCUUCCUCUUCACUUGUUGCCUCCUCUUCCUCAUCUUCUUUUUCACUUGUUGUCUCAUCAUCACCUUCCUCUUCUUGACUUGAUAUCUCCUUAUCAUCCUCUUCAAUUAAAUCAUGUCCAUCUUCAAUGCCAAUGACUUGUAAACUAAUUCAAUCAACCUCUUCACCAUCAGCUUGUUCAUCCCGUAAACCAUCGAUUGGGUCAUCCUCUAUAUUUGCA
rnacentral:lncRNA from 1 species